GACGAACGCUGGCGGCGUGCUUAACACAUGCAAGUCGAACGGAAAGGCCCUGCUGUGGGGGUGUGCUCGAGUGGGGUGCGUGUGAGUAGCACAUGAUUAACCUGCCCUUGGGUUUGGUAUAACUACUGGGAACUGGUGCUGGUAGUGGAUAGCUGCUCCCGCUGCUUGUGGUGGGUUGGGAUGUUGCGGCGGGUGGGGAUGGACGCGCGGCUUAUCAGCUGGUUGGUGGGGGAGUGGCUUACCAAGGCUGUGACGGGUAGCCGGCCUGAGAGGGUGACCGGCCACAUUGGGACUGAGAUACGGCCCAGACUCCUACGGGAGGCAGCAGUGGGGAAUAUUGCGCAAUGGGCGGAAGCCUGACGCAGCGACGCCGCGUGGGGGAUGACGGCCUUCGGGUUGUAAACCGCUUUCGCCAGUGACGAAGCGCGAGUGACGGUACCGGGUAAAGAAGCACCGGCUAACUACGUG
rnacentral:rRNA from 1 species